GCUGCUACCACUGCGGCUGCUUCGUGAGGGCCUCGCCGUCCACCGUAGUUGCCUGGACUACGACAUUGGCGUCCUCGAGCAGUUUUCGUAGCUAGGUUGGCCAUGAUGGAUACCGGGGAAAUCAACCACCACCGCCUGAUGGUGCGCUCACUGUUGUUCCACUCACACCCCAGGGGAUCUGGCCACAGUGGCAUCGAGGACCUCCGGAUCCACAUAAAAUCAUUGAGACAGACACCUGUGCGACAUCGCGGAUCAUCCUUAACGCUGCAACAUCGUUGAGGUCCAGCUUGCUGCCUCCACCUGGGAUUGGUGUGUCAUCGUACUAAGGUUUUGGGAAGGGAAGAAAAAUAUGGAUGGAAAGAAUGCAUUGGCAUAUAUUUUCUGGAAGGUGGUCUGGUCUACGUAUCUUCAUCUGAUGGACAUGAAAUCUAUGGUAUGAACUGGGUGAAACAGAACUAUGAUAAGUUCAUUGUUACUUUUCUCUAAAAUUUUGUGGCUCUAUAUAUUAUCCCUAAACUAAGAUGAUAGCCCCAUAUCUGUUAAGCUACUGUAGAACAUGACAAGAUAUAUUUUGUGCAUUGCUGGACCUUAGUCUUUUGUGGUAGUAAUCCGAUAUGUGUGUUUCAGUCUGGAAACAAAAGAUCAUCACUGGACGAUCUAGAGAGAUCUUUCUGAGAGAAUACAAAGGAGAUGGAGAUAGAAAUUGAAUGACCAGGAGAGGAGAUUCUACAAUAUACCUAUUCUAAAAUAGAAGAUAGCAUAUUAUUGGUUCUUUAUCUCCAUGUAUAUUUUCUGGCAUCUUUUCGAAGAGUUGUGUUUGUAUGUUUGGUUCUCUGUUUAAAGGAUUUUUGGUUCUCUAUUUUGAUGCAACCUCCAUUGUUUACAGCCGGGGAAACAAUAAACAAUAGUUGUCUCUUUACUUUGCUCAUGUUGCAGUGUUGCAUGUUUCUUAGCGAAUACUGUCCUUUUAUUGGAGAUACUACAACUGAAUUGCUGGCUCAAUGGUAGGUUUGUUCUGGAGGGUCACAUCUGUACAAAGUACUAGCAGGUUGUCUUUUCUGUUUCCAUAUCCUGACAAGUUUUAGGUUGGGAACUGUUGGUGCUAUUUUGAAAAAUGGAACUCAGCCCAAUCACAGAGGUGUGCCCUGGUAGAGGUAAAACAAAAUCCAUCUGACUUAUCCCGUGUGCCAUGUUUAGUUAUAAGCACAGAAUUUCUGAUCUGGAUAUCUCAUUGGAGAGAUGCAUUGUUACCGUGAUUCAGUUUAUGCUAAAAAGAUUUACUCCAAUUAGGAAAACCUCCCAUCAUUAAUGCUAAUAUGAUGACCAUGUAGUGUCUUAUCAUAUUAUUAGCAAUAGGUAGUGUCUUUCAAAAUCUAUUCCUUCAUUUAUGCAAUUUUCAGUAUUCUUUGAUGCAAACUUGAGCUAGGCAUCUUCUACAGAAAUACAUCAAUCAAGUAACAUCAUGCUUAGUUGAGCCUUAAAAUUUUCUUCCUUGUAGCAAAUAUUUGAACUGCUUUAAGGUUGCUCAGAAGUUCUCCAACUUCUGGAUUCCCUAAACUCUAGCGUGGACCAGUGCCGAAAAGUCUAGCUUCAAGAAGCGAGAUCCGAGAAGCUAGCCCAUUUGGUUGUACAAGUACACAUCUAUAAGUGGAUUUGGUAAGUUUCCUUCGAAGUCCGAUGUUUUUUUACUGUCUAGAAUAGCAUGACACCAGAUAAUUCUACAUGUGGAAACUCUGUCCUUAUCCUUUUUCUGGGUUAAAUGGAGGCUGUACAAUUAUAACUCAUCUCCUUAAGUCACAUGAAGUUUAAAGUUUGCUGUUCCAUUAGCUAGAUAAAAUAAUGUUAGUUCAACAGAUUGUGGGUGAUAAAUUUUCUCUCUUUCUUGGUCAUAUAGAGUUCAAAGGUCACCCGAUUGUUAUUUCUUGUGUUGUAUUCGCACUAUCCGAAACGAUAAACAAGCUUUGCAGAAGACACGAAGAGUUGAAUCAUGGUGUGUCUGCACAACACCCAUUCAAGCUUAAAGCUUUCUCUUCCAUUCAGACUUCAUAUGUGAUUUUUUUUGUUACAAAUUCUCUUUGUUUAUAUGCAAGCAAAUGACUGAAGUAUUAACCAGCACCGGAAGCUUAUAUUGUCAUGCUGAUAGUCUGUCAGAUGUGCCAAUCAGACAGACAUUUUAGUUCGUGAAACCGUCUCCUUAGUCUAGCCCAACUGGAGAGAAUGGAUUCAUGAUAUACUUUUUCUUAUGCACCUGGGAUUAUAUGCAGAUUAGAUUAUACUCCGUAUAUGUUUAUUCAUCAAUACUAAUUCUAAAAAUAUGACACAUUCAGGUUUAAGGGGCAUUGGCACCAUUGACAUCUCAUGGCAGAGCAAUGCUAUGCAUCCACUGGUUAUAGAGAGAUCCGAGGUUGUGACUUGUACUCCCUUUGGUCCUAUUUAAUUGACUCAGAUUUAGCAUAAAGUUGUACUAAAUCCAAGUCAAUUAAAAGAUACCGGAGGGAGUAGCACUUUAUUUUGGAAAUCAAAGCUUAAUAUGGUUAACUCUAUACCACCGUGGUGAACUGUUAUAUGUAUGCCUUAUAAUUUCAACUGGUAUACACAUAGUUCUUAUGUUUAUGGUACCAAUGGGAAUAUGCGCGCUUGCGUGAGUGUGCGUGUGCGAUAUUCGAUUACACAUUUGGGUUGGGUUCCAUGCUCUUCUGUAGUUUCUUGCUAUAUCAUUGUCUUCCAUUGGUCUAGACAAUUUUCAUGGCAUUUAUUGCAUCAAUUAUCUCACUUAAGCACACCACAUUGUCAUGUGAUUUCUCUCAAGAUCUAGCUUUUACCUGUUGUUCAUUAUAUAUAUUUUGUCUUUUGUGCUCUGUAUUACCAAAAUUACUCAAUAAAAAUUAUGCAACUCUCCAGCUCCUUAUUUAUUCUGUGGUCUCUAUUUCCUUGCAAAUGUUAAGUCUUUUGUGUUUCACUGCCAACAGCAAAGAAGAUUUUAUGUGGAAAAGGAUAAUUACGAUUACAGAGCAGCCUAUUCAAAUUAUACCAAUACUAAUACUCCUUAACACUUACUCCCUGAAGUCAAGCUUACCAAGUACACCAUGCAUGCAUGUCGGGGCGUCGAUUA